rnacentral:tRNA from 1 species
CAGGGAGACAACAAAAUGUUUAAUAUUAUUAUUUUGUCACCUUAGGUCGAUCGGUAUCUCACGUUCUUAAAUUUAUUAAGAAUUUCAUUUCCUAAGUUUUUCUAGGUCACACCCAUUAUUUUUCCUGGGCCAUUAGCUCAGGUGGUUAGAGCGCACCCCUGAUAAGGGUGAGGUCCCUGGUUCAAGUCCAGGAUGGCCCAUAUCUCUAUGUUGGGGGUAUAGCUCAGUUGGUAGAGCGCCUGCUUUGCAAGCAGGAUGUCAGCGGUUCGAGUCCGCUUACCUCCACUGAUUACCACCUCUUCCAUAACCGGUAGUAAAGGAAAUGUUUUGAGUUGUGAUCAAAUUCUGAAAGAAUCUAGCUUCCUAAUGAAAUCAUUAAGAUGCUGGACUCAUUGAAUUAAUUUCAUUGUUUUCAGAGAACCUUGACAACUGCAUAGAUUAUUUUUAAAGACAAUAAGCAUCUUUAAUGAUGCAGAUUUAUUAUUUGUGCGAAUGCAUUAAUAACAAUUCUAUUAAGCUGAUGCUUCAAUUUUUGAAGUUAUU